CGGAAAGAACUUAUUUUAAUGUUCCUUCAUUAUUUUCUUUCUUCCUUCCUUCCGUCUUUCAUGGCAGUCUUUCAUGGCAGUAUUAUUCAAAAAAUCAAAGAAACAUGCGAGCGAGACAAGAUCUCAAGUUUAGAAAAAAAAA
rnacentral:ribozyme from 12 species